GCGGAAAUAGCUCAGGGGUAGAGCGCCACCUUGCCAAGGUGGAUGUCGCGGGUUCAAUUCCCGUUUUCCGCUCUA
rnacentral:tRNA from 1 species